rnacentral:rRNA from 1 species
GAUGAACGCUAGCGGCAGGCUUAAUACAUGCAAGUCGAGGGGUAACAGGGGUAGCAAUACCUGCUGACGACCGGCAAACGGGUGCGGAACACGUACGCAACCUUCCCAAAACUGGUGAAUAGCCCUCCGAAAGGAGGAUUAAUACACCGUAACAUAUAGAAGUGGCAUCACUUUUAUAUUAUAACUCCGGUGGUUUUGGAUGGGCGUGCGGCUGAUUAGGUAGUUGGCGGGGUAACGGCCCACCAAGCCUGCGAUCAGUAACUGGUGUGAGAGCACGACCAGUCACACGGGCACUGAGACACGGGCCCGACUCCUACGGGAGGCAGCAGUAAGGAAUAUUGGUCAAUGGACGAAAGUCUGAACCAGCCAUGCCGCGUGAAGGAUGAAGGUCCUCUGGAUUG